rnacentral:misc_RNA from 1 species
GAAAUGCGAUAAGUAAUGUGAAUUGCAGAAUUCAGUGAAUCAUCGAAUCUUUGAACGCACCUUGCGCUCCUUGGUAUUCCGAGGAGCAUGCCUGUUUGAGUGUCAUUAAAUUCUCAACCUCACCAGUUUUGUAACGAGACAGGUGAAGGCUUGGAUGUGGGGGUUUUGCAGGCUGCCUCAGUGCUGGUCUGCUCUCCUGAAAUGCAUUAGCGAGCUCAUAUUGAGCUUCCGUCUAUUGGUGUGAUAAUUAUCUACGCCGUGGAUUGGACUCAUGCUUGCUUCUAACCGUCCGCAAGGACAAUUUACUUGACCAAUUUGACCUCAAAUCAGGUAGGACUACCCGCUGAACUUAA